rnacentral:tRNA from 1 species
GGUGGCUCAGUGGUAGAGCGCUUGUCUUGCAUGCAUGAGGCCCUGGGUUCGGUUCCUCAGCACCA